ensembl:lncRNA
GAGUGAGUCUGUGUAUCCCAGCAGACUGGCUCAAAUGUUAGUCUCCUUUGGCAACACCCUCAAAGACACAGCCAGGAUCAAUACUUUGCAGCCUUCAAUCCAAUCAAAUUCUGGAUAUUAACUAUCAUAAUAUGUGAUCUAUCCUGGAGAAUGUUGCAUAUGCAAUAGAGAGGGAUGUGUAUUUACCAGUGGCUGAAUGGAAUGUUCUGUAUAUGCCUGUUAGGUCUAUUUGUUCUACAGUGUAGCUUAUGUUUGGUAUUUUCUUGUCAGUUUUUGUCUGCAUAAUGUGUUUAUUGCUAAAACUGGAGUGUUUAAGCACCCUACUAUUAUUGUAUUGCAGUCAAUCUCUCCUUUUAGAUCUAUUAAAAAUUACCUUGAGAACUGGUAAAGCAUUGUUUCUGGUGUUGUGUUUCCAGAGGAAAACACAACAUGUGAGGGUGUUUCCAGAGGAGAUUGGCAUGUGAGUCAGAGAAUUGAGUGGGGAAAAUUCAUCCUCAAUGUGGGAAAGAAUUAUCUGAUCAGUUGAGGUUUCUAAUAGAACAAAAACAGCAAGGAAAGGGCAAUCUUCUCUCCCAGUACUCCCCUGUCACAUAGACCUCUCUGCCCCACUUUCCUGUCCUCCUGGAUCUGGGACAUCCUUCUUUCUUUGCACAUCAGAACUGCAGGUUUGCCUGCUUUUGAACUCCAGGACUUACAUCAACAUCACCCACUAUCUGAGAUUCUCAGGCCUUUGGCCUCAGACUGAGAAGUAAUCAUCAGCUUCCCCAGUCCUGAGGCUUUUGACAUUGAACUAAGCCAUGAUAGAACAACUCCCAGGGCCUUUAGCAUGCAGAUGGACUGUCAUGGGACCUCUCACCCUCUAUAAUUGUAUGAACCAAUCUCCAUAAUAAAUCACCUUCUGUCUGUCUGUCUGCCUGUCUCUCUCUCUCUCCUCUUAGUCCUGCCUGUUGGAAAAACCUAAUACACAUGGGUUUAAUUACAAAGGUCUAUGCUUUAUGCAAUAUUACUAAGCUGUUUACUUUUUGUUUUGUGGAUUUUGAUUUUUGUGUUUUAUAUUGUAUAAUUGAGAUGGUUAAAUUUAAUUACUAUGAUUAGUAUCUUAAUGAUUGAACUAUGCAUCAGAUGGGCUGGGCAUAACUCAUUUUCAGUAAGCCAGAAAAUAUAUUUGAUAUGAAAUUACCUUGAAUGCCAAAGACCAAGACUCCACAACCAAUAAAAUAUAUUUUAAAGGAUUUAAAAAUAAUGGAAAAUGAGUAAUAAGUUCUAACAUAUAUCUAAUUUGUUUACUAGUAGUAAGAGACAGAAUGAAAUGAUGAGCUAAGAAAAUAAUACAUUUUGGCACAUUUAAAUCAGUAUUGUCUUUUUAAAAUAAAAAUGAUUUGUGUUUCUCUAAUGACCAGUGAUGAUGAGAGUAUUUUUUCCAUAUUUUUGUUGGCCGAAAAAUGUCUUCUUUUGAAAAGUGUCUGUUCAUAUUCUCCACCCAUUUUUUGAUGCAUUUGUUUGUUUGUUUGUUUUUGUAAAUUUGUUUAAGCUCUUUGUAGAUUCUGGAUAUUAGCUUUUUGUCAGAUGGGUAGAUUGUCAAAAAAUUUUCUCAUUCUUUUGGUUGCUGGUUCACUCUAAUGAUUGUUUCCUUUGCUGUGAAGAAGCUCUUAGGUUUAAUUAGACCCAUUUUAUCUAUUUUGGCUUUUGUUGACAUUGCUUUUGGCAUUUUAGUCAUGAAGUCGUUGCCUAUGCCUAUGUCCUGAAUGGUAUUGCC